UCAGGAUGAACGCUGGCGGCGUGCUUAACACAUGCAAGUCGAGCGAAGCGAUUCAAAUGAAGUUUCGGAUGGAUUUGAAUUGACUUAGCGGCGGACGGGUGAGUAACGCGUGGGUAACCUGCCUCAUACAGGGGGAUAACAGUUGGAAACGGCUGCUAAUACCGCAUAAGCACACAGUGCCGCAUGGUACGGUGUGAAAAACUCCGGUGGUAUGAGAUGGACCCGCGUCUGAUUAGGUAGUUGGUGAGGUAACGGCCCACCCAAGCCGACGAUCAGUAGCCGACCUGAGAGGGUGACCGGCCACAUUGGGACUGAGACACGGCCCAAACUCCUACGGGAGGCAGCAGUGGGGAAUAUUGGACAAUGGGGGAAACCCUGAUCCAAGCGACGCCGCGUGAGUGAAGAAGUAUUUCGGUAUGUAAAGCUCUAUCAGCAGGGAAGAAAAUGACGGUACCUGACUAAGAAGCCCCGGCUAACUACGUGCCAGCAGCCGC
rnacentral:rRNA from 1 species